ACGCAGCGACGCCGCGUGGGGGAUGAAGCAUUUCGGUGUGUAAACCCCUGUGCCCGGGACGAACAACUGGUUUCGACCAGUCUGACGGUACCGGGUGAGGAAGCACCGGCUAACUCCGUGCCAGCAGCCGCGGUAAUACGGAGGGUGCGAGCGUUGUCCGGAAUCACUGGGCGUAAAGGGCGCGUAGGCGGUCUGCUAAGCGUGCGGUGAAAGCCUGGGGCUCAACCCCAGGUCUGCCGUGCGAACUGGUGGACUCGAGCACUGUAGAGGCAGGUGGAAUUCCGGGUGUAGCGGUGGAAUGCGUAGAGAUCCGGAAGAACACCGGUGGCGAAGGCGGCCUGCUGGGCAGUUGCUGACGCUGAUGCGCGACAGCGUGGGGAGCAAACAGGAUUAGACACCCUGGUAGUCCACGCCGUAAACGAUGGGCACUAGGUGCUUGGGGGAGCGACCCCCCGAGUGCCGGCGCUAACGCAUUAAGUGCCCCGCCUGGGGAGUACGACCGCAAGGUUG
rnacentral:rRNA from 1 species